UACGGAGGGUGCAAGCGUUGUCCGGAAUUAUUGGGCGUAAGAGCUCGUAGGCGGUCUGUCGCGUCUGCUGUGAAAACUCAGGGCUUAACCCUGAGCUUGCAGUGGGUACGGGCAGACUAGAGUGCGGUAGGGGAGACUGGAAUUCCUGGUGUAGCGGUGAAAUGCGCAGAUAUCAGGAGGAACACCGGUGGCGAAGGCGGGUCUCUGGGCCGUAACUGACGCUGAGGAGCGAAAGCAUGGGGAGCGAACAGG
rnacentral:rRNA from 1 species